CAACUUCCACCUGGCUUACCUCCNUCAAUUUUGCGUCAUGACUUGUAUUGUCUUUGAGCGUAUUGUGGGUUUCCUGUGUUGCAUACCUAACUAAUGGUAUUGUUUUGGUUGAUUGAAGUCCCUUUUCGUCUUGUGUUGCCUUUGUGACGCAUGAUGAACCUUGAAGUGGUCUCUAUGUUCCACCACGUUUAUGCUAGUGUUUUGAUGUUGUGGCCCAUUGAGUUUUGCUUGGUUUUGUGGAUACAGAACAUGAUUUGGGCAUAGGGUCACUUGUGACUCUUGUUCUGUCCUUUAACGGUGUUCUUUAUAACGAUGGUUCAUGUGCGCCUWGGCUUGUACCUGCGCGAUGUUCUUGUCGAAGAGGAAUGCUACCUGGUUGAUCCUGCCAGUAGUCAUAUGCUUGUCUCAAAGAUUAAGCCAUGCAUGUGUAAGUA
rnacentral:misc_RNA from 1 species